CUCUGCCACUCGGACACUGCGGUUCCUUGGCGCCGUCCACACCCAUCGACGACUGCUCGCUGCGUUUUUUUGCU
rnacentral:sRNA from 1 species